GGGAGUGGUUAGGCUCUCCCAGGGCGGAAGGGAGAAUCCCGCCAGAGAGGAAUAGCUGUUGCCGGUUAUGUUAAUCUGUAGGGCGAGCACCUCUUCCUCUGGGUGCUACCGUUUGAUACUGUGGGUGGGUGAAUCCCAAGAAGUUCACAGUGAACUCAACUCUCAACCUGCAUCACAACAUCCGUGGUGCAGGGAUUGGACACUAGUGCUCCUGAACUCCAUCACCUGAGUAGCUGCUGCACUCUUUGGCUUGAAGUGGGUUGAGUCAUAUACAGGGUUUACAGGUUGACAUGGUUUCUAUCAUACACAGGGUUUACAGUUUGGUUCAAUGGCUCUCAGGACCCCCACUGUACACAUUGUUCCAGCACCCUUGGUCUCGCACCACACAAAGUGGCAGGGGGAGGAGGAUCAUCCUUAUAACUUUUAUCUCAGUGAUUAGGGUACUCACAUGUGAUGUGGGAAACCCUCAGUUCAGAUCCCGCUGAUGAGAAUGGAUCUCCCUCCUCUCAGGUCGGUGGCAGAGUCAGGAACUGAACCUGGAUCUGAGUCACAGUCUAAAGCCUUAACUGCAAAACCAUCAUUCUUCUCUUGAGGCCAUUGAUUAUUUAUUACUGUUGAUACAACAUGGACAGAAUAGGGCAAUUAAGGCAAAAGGAGGUGAAAUGGCUUGACCAUGGUCACCCAACAAACCAGUGGCAGAGGUGUUCUGAAGCCCAGCCCCAUGUGCUAGCCACGCUGCCUCCCGUGUCACACUUUGAGGGAGAUUCAAAUUUGCCUCACUGGCUGGGUCAUCAAGUGACUCUACAUUGCCAGCAGUGUGGAAAAAAAUUUGGAGGAUGACUAUUACGUUUGAUCCCCUUCACCUAUCUGUGUGAACAAGCUGGGGUGAAAAAGUAAAUAUACCGCCCAUGGCAACUGGGAUUGCUGGACUAAAUCAGUUAACUCCCCCCAUCCCUCCCAGGAAGGCUGUAUCCAAAUACAAAAGUUAUUGACAUAAAAAUAUAAGCCUGUUUCCUCAGAUAUGACAACUCCAGUGCAAGCAAGAGUUAGGUGAUGUGGUGAUAACA